rnacentral:lncRNA from 1 species
GGUUGAAUAGGUGUAGCGGUUAUCAAUCACCACUUCUUGAACCAAAACCCAACUGCUGGAAAAUAGCCCAGUUAAUCGAUUAACAACAAGGUUUAAUCGAUUAACUAUUGCACAGAACAGAAUGAUCAGACAUGUAAUUUGCACAGUAAUUAAAACAAGAUUGAAUAGAUAUGAUACAUAUAUUUUUACGCACAAUUAUUAAGUAUAUGGCAGUAAACAAAUAUCCAACUUUUCAAUUACAUGCCUCCUCUUCUGGAUCAAGGAGAUUUUCUUUCUUCACAAUAUUGAAAUAUGGAUACAAAUACCAAUUCCAAUACAAGCACAUAGGAUGCUCCCUUCUUGAAAUCUAGGACCUCUAAAUCCUUGGUUUGACUGUACCAUUCGCCUCUAAGAAAACCUUUCUCGCGAACUAGCCCCGGCCAAGAUUCUUAUCCUCAAAUCAAGACCUCCUAGCCUUGGUGAAGAACCUCAAUCUCUGUGGUGAUCUCACACCAAGAGACAAAUCCAGACUACACAAAAACACGUUAAACAACAAGGUAUACUAAGCACAAUAAUGCUUAAAAUAUGACAAGAUAAAGACUCAAAGAUUAACCCUUUUACUAACCACUUAAGCCAUCAAGAUUCAAAUGAGUUAAUCAAUAUCUGUAACACCCCGUUUUUUUGCAACUUAGAAAUUAGGACUUCAUUAUAAAAAUAUGAUGAAAAUUUAAAUAAAAUUAAAGGCAACUUGUUAGAAAAUCAGAGUGAAUUUAAAAUUUAUUUUCAUUAACAUGUUCAAGAUGCGGAAUUAUUCAAUAUUAUCAUUAUCCAAAAACUAGGUAUCACAUUCAACCUCAAAACCUUGAUUUAUAUAAUUAUCUAUUUGUUUAAAUAUGUAGCUUUACAAAAUCAUUAAAUUAAUCUUAACAUAAUGAUUAUAAAAGACAUCUUGCAUACAAAAAGGAUCACUCCUAAGUAUUUUUCAUAAAAUAUAACUUGUACAAAAAUUAGUUCAAAAGAUCAAGGGUAUUCCUAAAUCAGAGCCAAUAAUCUCAAUAUAAACAAGAUACUUAACUAUACAUCAGCUAAGUUUUUCUUCUCUAUAUUUCGAUCAAUAGAUAUCCAUAGAGCAACUGCAACAAACCUGAACAUACACAUAGUAUAGACAAAAGAAAAGACAAAGAAAAGGGAGUAAGAACCAACUACGACGACCGCAUCGUGGAAUUACAUAGAGAAAUAACAUUAAAGUGAGACACCCUAUAACAACACCAUAAUCAAACAAUGCCAAACAUAUGCAAAUGAUGCAUGAAGUUAGUGUCUUAUAUAAGAGGAUAUUCACAUCCAAAAUUAAUAUAUCUUUUAUGCAAUGCAAUAUGCAAUUCCACCAACCAAUCACCACAAAAAAUACAAUACCCGAAGGCCAAGAUCCUAGUGGAAAAGCAACCGGGAGUACAUAUAUCCUUAACAACGACAAGUAACAAUAUCAAUUAUUUUCCAAUUACCUCUAUCUGAGGUGCUUACGUGGUAAGCCCAGUCCGUUUCAGGAUUCCUCUCUACCGAUCAUGAAAUGCGCAAGGGGGUGUCAGAGANNNNNNNNNNNNNNNNNNNNNNNNNNNNNNNNNNNNNNNNNNNNNNNNNNNNNNNNNNNNNNNNNNNNNNNNNNNNNNNNNNNNNNNNNNNNNNNNNNNNCGCCCCUAUCCAAAUCCCAAUGAUAUUUCUAUCAUCGUGUCUUUCCAUUUUCUCCAACUUCAACUACAAGAAUGCAAUGUAUGCACACUAACCGAAGUUAGCUCAUUGAGUAUUUUAAUCAAGGUUUCCACUAAUUUUAAUUUCAACAAUUAUCACUUAAGUUAGUCAUCUCAGCUCCAAUGCAUCAAAAUCAUGUCAAGUCCAAUAGACGAGCUCAAGAAGCUAACUUAGUAUCCAAGAUCAAUGUGCAAAACCUUAAUUUCAAAAUUAUGUAUUUUCCAAAUCAAUAUAACAACUAACGUAUGUAUUUUCCAUUAAAUACAAUAAUCAAGUUAUAUAUUUUGAAAUCAAGACAAUAAUCAACUUAAUAAUAAUUUCCCAUAUCAAUACAACAAACACACACAUAUACAUAUAUAUAUAUAUAUAUAUAUAUAUAUUCUAUUUCAAUACAACUAUACAACAAUCAAUAACAUAACCAUUACAAUUGAGAUAUUUCUAAAUUACAACCUUAUCACAAACGUUCAGCACAUAAAACAAUUAUUAAUUUAUCACAAUACUCACAUGCAUACAAACAUGAUUAUUUAACCACCUUUCAUGAUGAUGUAAUACCAUAAGCGAGUACCUCGCGUUAUGUUAUACACAAAAAUGAAUUCAUAUACAUAUAUUUCCAGCACAAUCAAAUAUCUAAGAUUCUAUACAUUGUCAUGAAAAAGAUUAAGGACUCUUACCUGGAAACAAGUUUCCAUGGGAGUUCCUAAUCUAUAAGACUCUCCGACUUUUGAGGGAAUCGGAGAGGAAAACUUCAAUGAAAUACUCUAAGACCACAAUGGUCUUCUCCCUCACCUGGGUUUAUGUAAGCUCCUUGUCCAACAAACAAACUGGCUCUUUCGCUGUCUCCUUCAGCUUUAAAAUCUCUUCUCAUACAUAUGUCAAUAACAUUCAAUAAACAAAUCAAAUUCUACUCUAGCUACAAGUAACAACUAAUCUAGUAUUUGUCAAUAACUUACGAAAAUAACAUGCAUAAUUACACUUGUAAAAAUACAAUAAAACCAAACAUAGUAAUUUAUUUAAAUAAUGUGUACAGUAUAUAUAUAUAUAUAUAUAUGUGUGUGUGUUUAUACUUUUAGAUUCACUAUAACAGUGUCGAGGUUUGUAACUCUAAGAUUACUACUUCUAGAAAAAUUUAACUCCUACAAGGUAAUAAUCUAUACUUUCCUAUCAUUUGAGAAAUAACUAAAAUAGUUUUAUAGAUUGCAACAGAACAACUAAUUUAGUUAAUAAAACACACAUAAACUUCAAUUCUAUUCUCAUUCAAGAUAUCAUAAACUUUGAAAACUAAAUCCACACUCAAAUAUAAAUGGGUUGAUACCAUAAAGCAACAUAACAAAGCACCUUAAGUUUUGUGCAGCAAAAUAUUUUAUUUUACACUAUGUUACUAAAGAACUAUUGGAAAAUAACAUAAGUGACUUAGUGAUGGAUUAUAGGAUUUCUUAUCACCAUGAUAUGGAAACUUGGCUACAAUCAAAAUUUGUUUUCUUUUUACAAGGCUACCCAUUAAUAUGAAUACAUAUAUCAGUAAAUAUGGAUUUUGUUUUUAACAUUAUACCAGAUAAGUUUUGAAACCCCAACAUAAAAAUCAAAUUCAGAUCUGAAUAUGAAGAUGGAAAAAGUAUUAUUUAAAGUAUAAUAAACAUGUGGCAUGCAUUGUUAAAAGAAUCAUCAAAUUAACAACUAAUAGGUCCAAAUAAGUGUGAUUUUUGGGAGCAGAAAAAGUAACUUUCUUAAAAUAAAGAUCAUACAACUAAGAAAUUCCAAGGAGAAAGGCAAAAUAAUUAGAGGUUAAAUAAAAUGCAAAGAAGAUAAAAUAUAGAACACUUAUGAUGAUAAGGGCUCCCAUACCUUCUUCCAACCACUAUCACCAUAAGCAAACAAGGAUGGAGAUGCUCUACACUAUUUUCUUAUGGCUAUAAGUAUUAGAAAUAAAUUAACAGUGAAGGCUAUAUUGAUGGCGUCACAGACUUGUGAGUGCUUUGAGGCUAGGAUUAGAAUCGACAAAGAUUAGGAUUAGAAAAGGGAGAUGGGGCUAGGGUUGCGUGUAGAAGAGAAAAACUACAAAGAUAAUUUUGUGGCUAAGAUAUAGUAAACUAGGUUUCAAAC